rnacentral:rRNA from 1 species
CAGAGGUCUCAAGCGUUGUUCGGAUUCAUUGGGCGUAAAGGGUGUGUAGGCGGCGCGGUAAGUCGGGUGUGAAAUUUCGAGGCUUAACUUCGAAGCUGCAUUCGAUACUGCCGUGCUUGAGGACUGGAGAGGAGACUGGAAUUUACGGUGUAGCGGUGAAAUGCGUAGAUAUCGUAAGGAAGACCAGUGGCGAAGGCGGGUCUCUGGACAGUUCCUGACGCUGAGGCACGAAGGCCAGGGGAGCAAACGGGAUUAGAUACCCCGGUAGUCCUGGCAAUAAACGGUGCACGUUUGGUGUGGGAGGAUUCGACCCCUUCUGCGCCGGAGCUAACGCGUUAAACGUGCCGCCUGGGGAGUACGGUCGCAAGAUUA